GACGAACGCUGGCGGCGUGCUUAACACAUGCAAGUCGAACGGAAAGACCCUGCUUUUGUGGGGUUCUCGAUUGGCGAACGGGUGAGUAACACGUGUGUAACCUGCCCUUGUCUUUGGGAUAACUUCAGGAAACUGGGGCUAAUACCGGAUAGGAUCUCCUGCUCCAUGGUGGGGGUUGGAAAGUUUCGGCUGUUGGGGAUGGACUCGCGGCUUAUGAGCUUGUUGGUGGGGUAGUGGCUUACCAAGGGUUUGACGGGUAGCCGGCAUGAGAGCGUGACCGGCGACAUGGGGACUGCGAGACGGAGCAGACGGGUACGGGAGGCAGCAGGGGGGAAUAUUGCACAAUGGGCGGACGCCUGAGGCGGAGACGUCGCGUGCGGGAUGACGGCCUUCGGGGUGUAAACCGCUUUCGCCUGAGACGAAGCGUGAGUGACGGUAACGGGUAAAGAAGCACCGGCUAACUACGUG
rnacentral:rRNA from 1 species